CUCCCCCUGCAACCCCCUAAUCCUUAUCUGAACUCUGUGAGAACAAAGUAACUGUACUGUAUGUAGCCUACCCAUUUCUUGUCUUAGUAAGAAACACUGAAGAAAACAAUAGCUUCCACGAUGGAUCCGAUCCCAGCACUGGCCUUCCAGCCAGGCGGUAUGCUGUCGUAAUCGUGUCCACGAUCCAGUGAGAGAGCCUCUGCUUUGAUAACCCAGUCCCCAGGACUCUCACCAUAGCAGAAAAAGAGCUGGUCUGUUGUUCUCACUGCCCGUGUCCGCUCCACAUAGACAGCCAGAGCCCACGCAGGGCACAGCAUGCCGGAGGGAGCGCCAGGCUCUUCCGCCGCUCCCGGGGGGUCGUAAGCAGACAGGAUAAAAGGGAUGUUGACAUAACUGUCUGACAGACAGAGGAAUGAAGAGUUGGGGCGAAGAGAUAUACUCCUCCUACCGGGGUCCAUCCGGUAGCACUCAGAACAUACUGAAAGAGCAUGGAGCUCACCCACCCUCUUCAUGGAAGUUAUUGCUACCACGAAAGCCACCUUCGUAGAGAUGUGUUUCAGGGAGGCAGACUCCAACGGUUCGAAAAGCGGCUUUGCCAAAGCUGCCAAGACCACAUCCAGAUCCCAGCUCGCCAUUGAGCGCGUCCUAGCUGGACGCAGGCGACGAACCCCCUUCAUAAACCUGGAGACCAAGGGAUGGCGCCCCACUGGCCUGUCUAUCCACCACACAUGGCAGGCAGAUAUAGCGGCCAAAUACCCUCUCAGUGUAGAGGCUGCUAAGCCCUCAUCCAAGCGAGGCUGCAAGUAUUGGAGGACAUACUGCACCCCGCGUGAUCUCAGUACCCAGUAGCGGUCAACUCUACCCGUAGCUCUCUCAGUGGGAGGGGCUUAUCAUAAGGGGAAGCCUCAACAACAACAUGAUGCUGACAAGUCGUCUCUCCAGAAGAGUCUCUCCAGAUCAGAACGUCUCAAUGAACACCAGCAAAGACUUAUAGGAAGAAACCUCACCACCGAUGCUCUGACUGUGGGAAGAGUUUUGCUAAACAGAGAAAAUUGGUCAUUUACCAGCGGAUUCAUGCUAGAGGGAAGCCUUAUAGUUGUGAUAAGUGUGGGAAGUUUUGCUUGAGAUUUCACCGUGACCAAACACCGACUUAUACACACAGGAGAGAGGCCUUAUAGCUGUAAUCAGUGUGGGAAGAGCUUUAAUCAAUCAGCAGCCCUGAGCACACACCAACGCCUACACACUGGAGAGAGACAGGAGUAAGGUGUAUGUGGAAAGAGCUUUGCUCAAUCGGGGUAACUGAAAAAACACCAGAAAGCACCAACAUGUUUUCUUUCAUCCCUCCUCUUAGGCACCAGUUCAAGAUAUCUAAAUAAAGUUUGAACAGAAAACAUAUUGUAAAGAGUUAUUAUCUCCCAUUCUCUAAGUCUGAUUACCAUGGUAACCUGUGUUGAUAAUAUGCAGCUCUGGAACCAUGUAUCAAGCGUCUUGGAGUAGGAGUGGUGUGUGGUGGGGUGGGGAUGUUCAGAGCUGUAUCUUACUUCAAUAACUCCUAUUAUCUAUUAAUGAAUUGUAUAAUGUUUCAACAAUACAAGGUGUGUAUUCAUGUAUUCAAUAUAUCAAUAAAUAUAUUCCAUUAUCUGCUCAACAACAUCUGCUUAUGACAUUGAUUAUAUGUUUUUAAAAAUCUAAUAAUCAAUUUUUAAAAGGACCAUAGUCCUCUUGUAUAAUUAGUUUGCUCCUAAAAGAUGUUCACAUAUUUAUUUUAAAACCUUUCACCAGGUUUUAGUGUAGCUGAUGGGACACAUAGAAGUACAGAAGACAUAGGACUAUUAGUGUCGUCAAAUUAAGUUGUUGAAUUUAUUUUAAAGGAUUUAAUUUGUGAUAUCUUUGAACUUUCCUUAUUGUGUAUUAAGUGUGCUCCAGAGAGAUGUUCACACAUUUGAUUGUGAAUCGAAUGAUGUGUUGGUUGUUAGGAAGAGGCAUCAUGGGGGCAGGAAGUCAGCUCUGCCCAUCAGUACCUGUAGGUCAUGUCAAACACAGACCUCACACUCUUCUGUUUCCUCACAGCCAGUAAGUUCUCCUACCAAA